CCUACGGGCGGCUGCAGUAGGGAAUCUUCGGCAAUGGGGGCAACCCUGACCGAGCAACGCCGCGUGAGUGAAGAAGGUUUUCGGAUCGUAAAGCUCUGUUGUAAGUCAAGAACGAGUGUGAGAGUGGAAAGUUCACACUGUGACGGUAGCUUACCAGAAAGGGACGGCUAACUACGUGCCAGCAGCCGCGGUAAUACGUAGGUCCCGAGCGUUGUCCGGAUUUAUUGGGCGUAAAGCGAGCGCAGGCGGUUUGAUAAGUCUGAAGUUAAAGGCUGUGGCUCAACCAUAGUUCGCUUUGGAAACUGUCAAACUUGAGUGCAGAAGGGGAGAGUGGAAUUCCAUGUGUAGCGGUGAAAUGCGUAGAUAUAUGGAGGAACACCGGUGGCGAAAGCGGCUCUCUGGUCUGUAACUGACGCUGAGGCUCGAAAGCGUGGGGAGCGAACAGGAUUAGAUACCCCAGUAGUC
rnacentral:rRNA from 1 species